GAUGAACGCCGGCGGCGUGCUUAACACAUGCAAGUCGAACGGGAUCCAUCAGGCUUUGCUUGGUGGUGAGAGUGGCGAACGGGUGAGUAAUGCGUGACCGACCUGCCCCAUACACCGGAAUAGCUCCUGGAAACGGGUGGUAAUGCCGGAUGCUCCGACUCCUCGCAUGGGGUGUCGGGAAAGAUUUCAUCGGUAUGGGAUGGGGUCGCGUCCUAUCAGGUAGUCGGCGGGGUAACGGCCCACCGAGCCUACGACGGGUAGCCGGCCUGAGAGGGCGACCGGCCACAUUGGGACUGAGAUACGGCCCAGACUCCUACGGGAGGCAGCAGUGGGGAAUAUUGCACAAUGGGCGCAAGCCUGAUGCAGCGACGCCGCGUGCGGGAUGACGGCCUUCGGGUUGUAAACCGCUUUUGAUCGGGAGCAAGCCUUCGGGUGAGUGUACCUUUCGAAUAAGCACCGGCUAA
rnacentral:rRNA from 1 species